rnacentral:rRNA from 1 species
UACGUAGGGAGCAAGCGUUGUCCGGAUUUAUUGGGCGUAAAGAGCUCGUAGGCGGCUUAGAAAGUCAGGUGUGAAACCUCCAGGCUCAACCUGGAGACGCCACUUGAUACUUCUAUGGCUUGAGUUCGGUAGGGGUAAGCGGAAUUCCUGGUGUAGCGGUGAAAUGCGCAGAUAUCAGGAGGAACACCGGUGGCGAAGGCGGCUUCCUGGACCGAUUACUGACGCUGAUGCGCGAAAGCUAGGGGAGCAAACGGG